UAGCAAAGGCAAAAAGUGAAAGUGAAGGCACACUCUUCUGACCUCAAGGUCAUAUUUAGACAGAAUCGUACAAAAGUAGCGCUUUGCCUGGAAGGAAUUUAGCAUAGACUACAUUGCUGCUUGCUUUGGGGUUCCCCAGACACAUGACGUCCGUUUGCACUGACAACACCAAGGUGUCUAACAUCGGCCAUUCUAGAUUUCUGUAUCCGUGCCAUGCGGUCUAAACAAACUGGCUGGAGCAUCCCUCUGUCCCCUUCAAGUGGUAAAGAAUAAUGUUCUAUAGAUGAGCGUCUGUGCCUUCAGAAAAGGAAGGGGUCGGUGCAUAGGAGGGCUCAGUGGGGUUGCCCCAAGGGAUGAUGGGGCUCAUUCUACAGGAGAGCAAGCUCCUGCGUUAAGUUUCUCCUGCUCCCCUGGCAGGACCGAUGGUGAGUUACAUAACAUCUGGCUAAUCAAGAGUUAUACAAAUCCCCACCUGUGGCCUGCUUGUGGCAACGAAAUGAGACGUCUGGAGUACUUCGCUCUGUCUGGCACCCUCCCCCUGUGCGUGUCUUCCUGUGACUAUUACCACUCUAACUACCAUUUUCUUGGACUCUAAAAACAAAGGCCGAAGCCAGAGGAAAACUCUUCUCAACUGACAUCACCGUUGCAAGAUGGGGGGAAAACCUUACAGUGGAAGUUCUCUUGCUUCCGCUGACAACCCGUUCACCAGCAUCACCAAUGAGACACAUACCAAAUGGACCCAGCCCUCCUCUCAUUUCUGUUUUAGUAUGCUUAGAAGCUGAGGGUAAGAGGUAGAGAAAUGGGUGGGAGCAGUUGCCUACCUAAGCAAUCCAGAAUUUACUGUGAGAUCGUCUCUAAUUGGUGUGGGAGGUGGAGGCUCGGCUAAAAACAAAACAAAGAACAAACAAGGAAACCAGAGGAGCUAAAACAGAUCCCCUUUGAGGGCGCUCAUCAAAAAAAAAUCUUAAUGGCCCACACUCUGUGGCCGCCAUGGCGUUUGCAAACUAAACUGUGGCUCUUCAUAAGUCCAGCUCCAGAGGCAGAUGUAAGUCCUUCCCAUCCCACAGCAGAGAGGCACUGUUGUCUUUGCCGGCACCGGCUUCUCUGCUUUAAAUAGAUCCAAGAUAGAUGGACCCUAGGCCUGACAUUCGGUUUCACCUUCCGCUGAUGUAUAGAAGCUCCAGGGGCAUUUGGAAGACGCAACACAGAGAUUAUAUGUAAAUCAAUAGCAAUUUUUCUUUUGUGCUCAAACCACGAAUACCGACUAGCUAGUUUUCGGGACAUUGCAAUAAGUGAGCUCUAUGUCCCUGUUCCAAUUCAAUUAUGCUUCAGUGUUUUAAUUAGCCUAAAUGAUUUUACUUUCUCUCCAUAGAAUGAAUUUUUGCCAGAUCCCUGCAUUUCCAUCCAACUGUCUUGUCACAGCUAAGUGACAAUGAGUGCAAUGAGGUGGACAGAAAUGGAGAAGUGGAACCCCUGAAACUGGUCAGCAGCAGCAUUAGUCUGUCCACUGGUCAGUUGUGACCCAAUCAUGUGUUCAACCCCACGUCUGAAACGUACCACCAUCUCUCCUUACCGCAAUGCUAGAAACCAGACUUACAGCAUAAGGGCAACAUCUCAUCGUUUCUCCAUUUUUAAUGUGUUGGCUUUAAGAAUAAAAACCUCACACGA